UGGGGGAUAUUGCACAAUGGGGGAAACCCUGAUGCAGCGACGCCGCGUGAGGGAAGACGGCCUUCGGGUUGUAAACCUCUGUCUUAGGGGACGAAGGAAGUGACGGUACCCUGAGAGGAAGCUCCGGCUAACUACGUGCCAGCAGCCGCGGUAAUACGUAGGGAGCGAGCGUUGUCCGGAAUUACUGGGUGUAAAGGGAGCGUAGGCGGGGUUGCAAGUUGAAUGUGAAACCUACCGGCUUAACUGGUAGACUGCGUUCAAAACUGCAAUUCUUGAGUGAAGUAGAGGCAGGCGGAAUUCCUAGUGUAGCGGUGAAAUGCGUAGAUAUUAGGAGGAACACCAGUGGCGAAGGCGGCCUGCUGGGCUUAAACUGACGCUGAGGCUCGAAAGCGUGGGGAGCAAACA
rnacentral:rRNA from 1 species